rnacentral:tRNA from 2 species
GCCGACGUAGCUCAACAGGCAGAGCAGCGGUCUUGUAAACCGCAGGUUAGGGGUUCGAGUCCCCUCGUCGGCUCCA